rnacentral:rRNA from 1 species
GACGAACGCUGGCGGCGUGCCUAAUACAUGCAAGUAGAACGCUGAAGGAGGAGCUUGCUCUUCUGGAUGAGUUGCGAACGGGUGAGUAACGCGUAGGUAACCUGCCUGGUAGCGGGGGAUAACUAUUGGAAACGAUAGCUAAUACCGCAUAAGAGUAGAUGUUGCAUGACAUUUACUUAAAAGGUGCAAUUGCAUCACUACCAGAUGGACCUGCGUUGUAUUAGCUAGUUGGUGGGGUAACGGCUUACCAAGGCGACGAUACAUAGCCGACCUGAGAGGGUGAUCGGCCACACUGGGACUGAGACACGGCCCAGACUCCUACGGGAGGCAGCAGUAGGGAAUCUUCGGCAAUGGACGGAAGUCUGACCGAGCAACGCCGCGUGAGUGAAGAAGGUUUUCGGAUCGUAAAGCUCUGUUGUAAGAGAAGAACGAGUGUGAGAGUGGAAAGUUCAUACUGUGACGGUAUCUUACCAGAAAGGGACGGCUAACUACGUG